GGAAGUUAAGAAACUGUUUCUUAACUUUUAACUAAAAAAACUAAGAACCAGUUCUUAAAUAAAGACUUUAAGAACCGGUUUUUAGCUGUUUUUAGCUGUUUUAGUUAAAAGUUAAGAAACAAUUUUUUAACUUCC
rnacentral:pre_miRNA from 1 species